AGGCUGAGGAGGAACAUGGGCCAGUCCUGGAGUCUGGGGAAGGCCUGGACGAGGGCUCUGCGUCGGAGGCAGAGAUGGGGCCAGGGCCAUCUGGGAGUGAUGUGCAGACUCCGGAGCCUCCAGAGUCGGACAACAGAGAGGCAGAGGAACAAGAGGAGCCUGUUCGUAGUGUGCACAUGCGCAGAGCUGCCAGAAGUCUUAGAAGCAAGAAGUUACUUUUCUUUAGAAAGCAGCUUCAAGAAAGUGCUUCAGUUGGACUGUCAAAAAGUGGAACACCCAUCUAAAAAUCUGCACAAUCCUAUGGCUGACUAGGAAAAAAAAAAUGAUUUUGUUUGGUAAGGCUGAAGAACCAGAAAGAGAGUUUCCAGAUAUCUGAAGGUUCUCCAAAAUAUCCAAAAAGCUCUCUUUCAUUUGCUUGGCUGUCAGUGAGGUUCGAUCAAAUUAUGGGAAGAAUAUGCAGCUCUUUGUCUUGAUUAGGAUCCUAAAUCAGUUUGAGGACAGAAAACAGAUUGUUAACACUGUUGCAAGUGAAAUUUAAGACCACAAAGAAUGUAUUCAGAAAAUGGAACGAGGGCCAGGAUAUGAAGAAAGAGCACAGCUGAGAGAGAGACAGAAACUCCAAACUCAUCUUGGGGUGAAGUUGAGUUGAGGUUACUAAAAAGGCUCUUUAGAUAAAUAUGGAAAAAAGAGAGGAAAAAAUAGUUUCCUUAAUAAAAAGCUAAUUUAUUAACAGGUAAUAAAAGAACUCAGUUAUUA